CCCAACCCCCACCUGGCUCCACUCUCCUGUCAGGGAGUUGAUGAGAGCAAUAAAGUUCCCCCGAGCCUCCUUUUCUCCAGGCUGAACCCCCAGCUCCUUCAGCUGCUCCUCAUCAGAGUUGUGCCCCAGACCCUUCACCAGCUGCAUUGCCCUUCUCUGGACAGCUCAUGUUGAAGUCCCACUUCAGUUUAUCUAAAAAUGUGCUUUGAAAAACUUUUCUCUGUAACUCUCAUAAACAAGAAGCUGAAUAUUCUGAGGCUGCAGUGAAGAAUCACAUCACUAAUUCUCAAAAUCCUCAUCAUGCCAUUUUGCGGAGCACAUGGCAGGCACAAGUGGUUUGUAAUAGGGAGGGGAAAAAACACGUGCUGCACCUCCCUUCACUAUUCUCAUUAUGAAACAAUGUCAAUGUCAAAAAGUGUUGAUCGGAUUGCAUCCUUAUUUGACCUCAAUGCCAAAUAAACACUGCCACAUCUUACUUGUAGUGGAUGCUUCCUGGUUAACACCAUUUCUUAUGAAAUUAGGCUGACCAAAACUAAGCAGCAUCUUUGUACAAAUUGCAGAACUAGGCACCCAGGUAAAUAAUUUGAAGAGGUUUGAGUUGCCAGGCAUUAGGACUCAGAGCUUGGGAGGAUUGUACAACUUCUAUUGCAUAGUCCAACAGCCUGCACUGAAUCAUUUACAGGUCAUUGCAGAUAAAUACCAGUUCCCUGGCCCUGGUAAAAAAGUAGUUCUCCAUCACAAAUCCUUUAUUUCCACCAUGCAUUUCUAUGUAUCAUUUUGUCUCAAUUGCUUCUUUGGCAUCUUCAAUUUCUAUGGUUUCCUCCUUUGAUUGUACUUUACACCCAUUUCUCUGUAUUCAGUUUCUCAACACACUUUCAAAUUUUUUGCCUUUAACUAGUAAUCAGAUUUUGAAAGCUGUGGAUUUUUAUUAGAACUCUGACAAUUACCAUAUCAGAAUUUUAGCAUUUUAUUCUCCUGUGUACAUUACUGGAAAUAACUACACAGUAUGUGAGAAGGAAGAGAGGCAAAUUUUGUUAUUAUCCACACUUUGCUGCAUUUCCUAUGAUACCACGCAUUCUAUAUGAUUUUAAGACUUCUUAAGAAGAUAUUUGAGAUUAAAGGGAUAUAUUCUUUUACCAACAAAACUAAUGGGGACAUUUCUGGCUCAAAACAUUGUAGUCCUUUAGGAAAAAAAAAAAAAGUAAGUUAUUCAGUGCAUAAGUCCAAAGACAAUCCUAUAUACUAUAUACUCACAAAUUUCAAACUGUCAUUACCCUGGAUAACUGCUGUGUGUAGUACUGUUCCUAGCCUAUAUUAACCAUUCGUAUUAUACUAACCUUUCUUUGCAUUUUCAAUGCAGAGUACUGUUUUUUCUCCCAUGAAUCCCCAGAAUUGUCUAAUGGCUCUGUAGUUAAUCCUGCUUGUCAUUCUACCCCAGCUAAACCUUUUAAUGAUGGUUUUAAAUUAGUUUUAUUAUUUAAGGUAUAUUGAGAAUGUACCUCAGCAAACUGAUAACUAUAUACAUUUUUCAUUUGCACCAAUUCUUCCUUCCUUUUCUGAAGUGAUGCAACUUGCUGACACUUAUGUCCGUCAUUGACUAUAACAAGGUCAUGCAUCUUCAAGGAUAGACUGUCAUGGUCAGAAUCAUUAUGGACAUAUGUAAAAAUAAGACAUAACCUAUAGCUUCUGUUAGAAAUAAAUUUCAUUGUUAAUUUGACAGGUUACCUGUUUUUUUUAACUUCCAAAUUCACUACUGUGCAGAAUUUAUUACUCUGUUUAGGAUAUUGAUUACAACCAGUGUUAUCAGCACAAUAAAGUAAACACAAAUUUGUUUUUUUAAAAAUUAAACUCUGAAAAAUGUAUGCAGGUUACAUCCUCCUUUACUUCAUCUUUGGGCACUGCCUUAUGAACCCAAAACCUGUAACUUUGUGCUUGCUCUAGCUUUUAGUGAAGUAAUAGAAAAACUUGCCAUCAGAAGUUGUAGAGGCUGAGAAGGCUGAGUCAUAGGAUGCUGUCUAGCAUAUGUGGAGUGCCAGGCUUUAUCAGGAUCUUUUACCUCCUGAGAUAUUGUUGUAUUAGUAGUAGUAGAACUUCAGAGAGAGAAACAAUUUGAAGAGAAAAAAAAUGUACUACCUCUAUGAAGGUUGAAAAACUAGAGGGAAUUUUAAGAACCAGUAUUAUAAAGGAGCCCUUACUUUCAAAGGCCGCAUAGAAGAUGUGCCAGAUAAGUUGCCGACUGCAAUGACCCUCGUUUAGCUGUACUACCUGGCUCAUGGUUGGGAUAGAAUGUGCCUUUUACCACCUCUCUUCCCCCCGCGGGUCAUCUUUGGUGUGGUGUGUGAUGCCAUGGGAUGCAUGGUAGCUCUACCUGAGUAGAUGCAAGAUGAUUACAGAAGUAUGAGAAUCUCACUGCUAUGGUUAAUAAGCCAUAACACCCUAAACUAGGACCAUUAAUACAGCUUCAAAUAACACAUAAUUCCACUUUUCCUUACUCCAGAUGAUGUGUAACAUAUGAGGCUUGCUGUAUCUGCAAACAACCACAGGGUGACAGGCAAUGCUGCUAAACAAUUCUGUGAAGCCUGGCUAGUUAAUUGUUUGGAUGGUCAUAUUAUUAAUUAAAAAAAUUCCUGAAUUCUUACAUGGACAGCGGUCAACUUUAAUGCUGACUGAUGAAUAAUUGAAAUUUCAGAAGCAGAAGAAGCCUGAUAGGAGGAUACAGUGGUCGCAUCUUCAGAUCAUCAGGAUAGAAAAUAUCAUAAAACUUUUUUGCCGAAGAGCUUGGCAAAAUGGUUUUGUUUGCUGCACAACUGAUAAACCACUCUUAAGAAAAGUGCAGUACAAAAAUGUUUGGAAGAACAGCCAAAUCUUGGUUUUAUAACUGUGCGAAAUCUACCAAAAGAGAAAAUGAAAACAGGAGUAAGUGGCUUUCUGAAAUCCCAAGCAAUCAGAGAGAGAAAAUACUGGAAGAGCUGGAUGUGAACAAAGUGCUGUCAUAUUUGGUUUACAAGAGAGUCUUUUCCUUGGAGGAAUACAAAGACAUUUGGUCCCAGGAGAGCUACAGGAAGAGAACUGAAUAUUUUUUAGAUAAACUCUCUCUAAAAGGCCCAGGUGCUUUCUCUGCCUUUUGUUCCAUUUUGGAGGAGGUCAGUCCUAACUUGCUGACAUGCUUUUUCCUUGGCUAUGAAGACUACAUGAAUUUCCCAGUGUUACCAGAGCAAACAAAACUGAGAACUGUUGCAGGGAUGGAGCUUCAUGAAACCUGUCAGAUGAGCGACCAAGAAGGAAGCCUUUCUGCUGAGGAACAACUGAAUCAAUCAUUCAACAAAUACAGGUUAAAAUUAUCACUGUCAUGAUGUCUUUUAUGAUCCCAAUAUUUCUCGUGAUUUAGUUCUAUGUAAGUGAAGUACACCACUGAUGCUUUCAAAAAGUGUUUCAUUUGCAUCUGACUUGACUUGGCAUUUGUAAACUACAAUUCCACUUUUAUGACAAACAUUUUUGAUGUUGAUUUUUGGAUGCUGAUUUAUGUUGGGGGUCACCUCUGGUCUUUACUACAGAUAUUCAUUAGUGAUGUAAUGCAUUGAUGACACUGCUAGUUUUCAGUGUUCAAGUACAUACGAUAAGUACAUUUUAUUUCUAAAUUUUCUUAGAGUGUGAGAGACAACCUAAGUUAACAUCACAGUUACUGUUAUUUUCAUUUAUUUUAAGAGGAAUAGAAACAGAGAAAGACCUAUAUAAGAACAGCAUGUAACCUGAUACAUUCUGGGAUACUGGGAUUUAAGUCCCUGCUUCAGAGAUUUACACCUAAAGAGAGGACAAAUAAAACCUUGGAAAGUCCUAAAAUGCUACAUUUUAUGUAGAUAUUAUUCAGUUCAGGCAUUUGCAGUUGUGUGUUUGGAGUCAUUCUUUGCCAAAUUCAAUAAGGAAUCUAGCUGAGAAUGGGCUACUGUUCUCAAUAGCUCAUUAGCUAUUAGAAAUACUGUAGGUAAUUUACACGUGUUCACCUACGCCAUUCUGAGAAAAAUGCUUAAAAGCAGUUAAAAGCUGUCCUGCUGUUUUGGUGUGUCAGUAACAUAUAAACAGUAGAUUCUGGAGGCUUUAAUACCUUUGCAUGUCUAGGUUAAUUUUGUUACAUUUCGGCUAUGGUCUGGAUUACACUAGUUUUUAGAAAUGUAGUAAAAAUUAAUGACUGUGAAGUGAUUGAAAAAAUUGUGGUUGUAAGAGGUUCGGUUCACCUUGAGUAGCUGUGAAACAUGAAAUGGUAAUAGAGUAUGAAGACACUUGAUACAAUACAGUAUGGGCAGAUAUACACACAGCUAAUGAAAUCCCAGUCAGAACUCCUUUCUGCACAGAUAUUCACAGGACUUCCAGGAGACUUGUAGUCAUUCAUAAUCUGAAUAUGUGCCAUUUGGAUUUAAACAGAUUAAUUUUGUAGCACUGACCCUCUAACUUUGCAAGGCAAUUCACUUACAAAACCAAACCAAUUAAGAAGUGCCUGCAGCUAAAGAAUCACAUUAGGGAAGUAGUAGCCAAGUAGGAAAGCUUUCCUGAGGUCAGCCUAUGCUGGAAAUGCUUGAGAGUUCAAAAAACCUCAACCAGAUAUAAAAGAUGUCACUAUCAGUAUUUGCAGGGCCAAGUAGUCUCACUAUAAGAUAGUUACAUACAUUCCACCUGACAAAAAGCAUAUGGAACAUCAGUUCUGCACACAACCCGGCAGAAGAAAAAAAAAGAUGCUGAAGCUAUACUCUCUCUGGGGUGUGUCAGUGUGAAGUGUAGAAGUUAGUAUAGCUCCAGAACUCAUGCAGCAAGAAGGGAAUAGUUACCUGUAUUGGAAAGAGAAAACUCAAUGAAAAGACAAACUGCUGUGCAAUAGCACACGAUUUACUUCAACACCAGUGUCCUGGAAGAAAGAAUAUAUCUUGACGCCAGGUUAAAAAAGCACCAGCAGCCUUCUGUUGUAUGCUGACACUCAAGAAAAAAAUGUAAUGUCUAACUGACCUAUGUUAGUUUUUUCUUAAGUGCCACACCUGUGUCAAACACCAGAGGCAACAUGGUCUUUGUGGACAUGAGAGUCUUGAGUGCUUGGAACAAUUUGUGAAAAAGACAACUCCACCUUGGAAGAAAACAAUAAAGCUGGCAGCAAAGCAAAUGUGCCACCGAUGUGUAUCCUGCAGACACACACUUUACAAACCACAGUUGCAGGGCCUCUAUGAACAAGGCAACUUGUCAGAGACAGAAAGUACCAAACAUAAAUACAACCAUGUAUUUAGGGAGCAUAAAGGUAACUAGAAAUACAUAGCAGUAGCUAAAUGAGAAGAGAUGAGUAUAAGGAGAAAGUGGAAGAUGGCUUUACUGCCCUUUCCUAAAUAUUUGUAAAUAUUCUCAAUCCUUUGUAUUUUUUUCUCAAUGAUAGAAAAAUGUCAGACACACAGACACUUUAAGGACAAGAACUUCCCGUGUCUGAAGUAAGUGGCAAAAUUCCAGAUGAUGUUAGUGGGAGCAUCACGGUAAGUUAGAGUACUUUGAUACUACAGAUAAUAAUAGAAGUUCCACAGUUACAUAGCAAUUGUAAAGCUAUGUUUUUAUAUUUAUGUGCAGACAAGUUAUCAAAGUCUUACCAUUGCAGAAUAGAUGGUCUGGGAAGAGCAAAAUCCCCUCAGUUCUAAACACUAAGAUGACCCUGUUAGUUAAGAAUCAGCCAACUAUAGCCAUUGCUAUGUUCAGUCAGUACCUCGGACAAAGAGAAAAUAAAACUAAAGAGGCAAAAGGUGUGUGGAUUCACACUCAAUUUUUCAUUUAAAGGUGAAAGCCCUAAUAAGGAUACCCCACUCUACUUUCUCAAUAUCCCCUCUUGAGACAGCUCCAGCGUUUCUGAUUACUACAAUAAAAAUAUGGUCUUUAACACAAAUGAAAUACAGUAUAUCUGAGGUUUGCAUAUUGUGAUUUGGCCUAGGACUUCCCAGGCAAGCAGCUUAUUGACAAAUGCACUCAGAAAAAUACCAGACAGAAGUACCAUGUUGUAUGACUUCAGUAAGUCAAUGCUAAGGAUAUGGUCUGAUUUUGGACCAGAAAACAUUGUCCAUGCUUCUGUUUAUUGUCCUCUCUCUACCUUCUUUCUCAGAAUACCCUCUUCAAAAGAGGGCAUCUGUAUUAAGACAAGUGAAUGGAAUUAUAGGUUGGGUCAGUAAUUGCCUGAAUAAGACCUCAAAUAAGUACUGCUUUCAACACCCUUAUUUUGGUUUUGGGGGGUUUCUUUUUGAUUUUGGCAGUUUUUGUUCAUUUAGAUUUUUUUUAAUGGGUUUGUUUUGGUUGGGUUUUUCUUUGCUACUUUAUCUCUCAAGCAUCCCUGGACAUUUGGUGCUGGCCCUAUGAAAAUCAUGCAGAUGUCAUAAAAGAAAAUAGUUAAUUAUUUUCCUCAGACUUUCUUUCUGUUUUGUCCUCCAGCAACAGUUUAUUUCUCUUAUUGAUUGAGAACUAAAAUAGUACAUAUAUGUUACUUUCCCAAGAAAAGACUGUGUCACAAUGGCUGUCAAAUAAAUUAUCAGAAUAAGUAACAUUCAAACUGUGACAAUCAGAUGCUAUUUUUGCAGUUGUUUUAAAACAAACUAUCUACUUUCACACUGUGAGCAACAAGAGAUUUUUGCGUGCAGCUUUUCCAUUUUCGUCUAAAUGGUUUAUGAUUGUGCGGUACACACUGUAGAGUGCAUGUAACUAAUUUGUAUUUGAACUCUGAUUGAUGGAUUUCCCACUUAUGUUUAAAUUUUGGAAUAGUUCAGUUCCAUUGUAGAACCUUUCUGAAUCUAUUGGAAUUGUAUUUUACAGCUCUUAAAUAAAUCAGUUUUUAACAUUUGAAA